ensembl:lncRNA
AAUCUAUAGUGUUACUGAGCUAUUGGAGAAGAAUCAAGGGACCUCUAUAUGUCGAAGAGGCACCAAUAUCCAUUGGUUGUGGAUAGUAGAGAGCUCUAGUACUGAACAAUUUUAGAGCAGCAACACAGCAGAAAGCUAUUGGAGGUCUGAUUGCCAUUGUAGCUUGCACUCUUCUGCUGAGUCACUAUUUCAGAACUCUGUUAGAUUGGCUGGAUUCUGUUUCUGACAUUUUCUUAUACCUGCAAUGUGAAAACUCUUUAUUUCAUUAAAUACUGAUCAUUUAUAGAUGAGAGCAGCCAGCGAUGAGGCAAGGAUUUUACCUUUUCAUUGAGUACUUGUAACAGGUUAGUGAUUUAUAGGUAUGAAAACUCCAAAGCACAAUGUGUGGUGUGGGCAAAGGGAUAAUUUUCAUCAUUUUAAUACUAUCUUCAAAGGAAGUGCGUGUUUGUUGUUGAUAUUUUGGUUUUAUUUGUUCUGAAAUUUUAAAAGAUGACACUUUGAUUUUAGAUUCAUCAGUCUCAUCUCACCCCCUCCCCCAUAAAAUAAUCAACCAUUCAGUCAACAAAUAUUUAUUAGGCAUGAUUAUAAACAUGUGAGAGAAAAUUAAGUUAAUUCAACAAAUAUUUACAGAGCAGUGCCAGUGGAAGAGAUACAGCAGUUAACAAGAAUUGAUUGUCUGCCUCCCUCUUUGAAUUUACAGUCUGUCUGAAAAGUAACAGUAAACAGGUAAUUACAAAGGUGAUCCAGAUUAAAUAUGUAUAAAAUUAAACUGAAUUGAUACAAAUAUAAAUAUGAUUUAGCCCCCUUUCUGAAGGAGCUUAUAUCUUAAGUGUUGAAAGAGAUGUGUACAACUUACUAGAAUGCCAGGCAAAAUAAGUCUUGUAGUAGGAGCAUAACAAUAGUACUUUGGGGCAAAGAUUCAGUUCAGUUCAGUUCAGUCGCUCAGUUGUGUCCAACUCUUUGCGACCCUAUGAAUCGUAACAUGCCAGGCCUCCCUGUCCAUCACCAACUCCCAGAGUUCACUCAGACUCACGUCUAUCGAGUCCGUGAUGCCAUCCAGCCAUUUCAUCCUCUGUUGUCCCCUUCUCCUCCUGUCCCCAAUCUCUCCCAGCAUCAGUCUUUUCCAAUGAGUCAACUCUUUACAUGAGGUGGCCAAAGUACUGGAGUUUCAGCUUUAGCAUCAUUCUUUCCAAAGAAAUCCCAGGGCUGAUUAGGAAAUGAUUAAUUGGGACCCCAGGAAUUAUUACAAAAAACUCCAUGAAUAAGAAGUCAGCCUAGAAGGGUAGACAUUUUGACAGUCAAAUAAAGGGAGGAAAGGCAUUUUAGAUGGUGGUGCUGCUAAUUAGUCAUACCUCUUAUCCACUCCUGUUGGUGAUGGGAGUUAAAAUAUCUCAUCAGCUGAACUGCUCAUCAAACUGGAUGGAGGAAUAUGCAUGGGUCUACAGCAUUUCUCCCUCCUCCCCAGUUUCGUGUGUCUACUUCAUUCAGAGGCACAACAGCUGGGAAACUUCGUGCUGCCUUCCAGAGGAGGAUGUGCUCUGCUUAUGUACAAGAGACUCUGAGAAAGGGACCAGCCAGAAGCUGUCAUGCCUGAGCAUUGCCCUUCUCCCCAAUCAGAUGGUUUAUGUCUCUUGAGGGGAGGAAAUAUGAGAAAUGGUAAAAUGAAAACUUCCGCCUCAUUACUUUCCCAAGAGAGCAGAACUAAGGGCAGACGUUCCAAUAGUAUAGGCAAAGCUGGAAACUGGAGGAGAAGAAUAGAAGAAGUCCCUCUAUACUAGCACGUGUCACAUCAACAGAACACAAGCUGAGUUACGUUUUUGUUAAAAAACCAUGUGGCCCUUCAAGCAGUUUCUUAGAACGGCGUGUUAUUUGGCAAAGGACGACAGGUCAACUUUGAGAGCUCCAGAGCAAUUCCAGAUCAGGGAGCCUCAGGUGGAUGAAAAGGAACAAGAAAAUAACCAGUGUCCACUGGCAGCACCGCUCCACUCUCCCCGUUAGUGUUGAUCAGGUGUCUGCUCUCUUAUCUCCUGACCCCUUCACUUUCUGGUAAAGAAAAACAGGGUCUUAUUUAAAUAGUAAGGUGAAAAGACAGCCUUCUGAAUGGGAGAAAAUAAUAGCAAAUGAAGCAACUGACAAACAACUAAUCUCAAAAAUAUACAAGCAACUUCUGCAGCUCAACUCCAGAAAAUAAACGACCCAAUCAAAAAAUGGGCCAAAGAACUAAAUAGACAUUUCUCCAAAGAAGACAUAUGGAUGGCUAACAAACACAUGAAAAG